rnacentral:rRNA from 1 species
CCUACGGUGUGCUGCAGUGGGGAAUAUUGCACAAUGGGGGAAACCCUGAUGCAGCGACGCCGCGUGAGUGAAGAAGUAAUUCGUUAUGUAAAGCACUAUCAGCAGGGAAGAAAAUGACAGUACCUGAGAAAGAAGCACCGGCUAACAACGUGCCAGCAGCCGCGGGAAUACGUAGGGGGCAAGCGUUAUCCGGAUUUACUGGGUGGAAAGGGAGCGUAGACGGCAGUGCAAGUCUGGAGUGAAAGGCGGGGGCUCAACCCCCGGACUGCUCUGGAAACUGUACGGCUUGAGUGCAGGAGAGGUAAGUGGAAUUCCUAGUGUAGCGGUGAAAUGCGUAGAUAUUAGGAGGAACACCAGUGGCGAAGGCGGCUUACUGGACUGUAACUGACGUUGAGGCUCGAAAGCGUGGGGAGCAAACAGGAUUAGAUACCCUUGUAGUC